AUUGAACGCUGGCGGCAGGCCUAACACAUGCAAGUCGAACGGUAACAGGAAGCAACUUGCUGCUUCGCUGACGAGUGGCGGACGGGUGAGUAAUGUCUGGGAAACUGCCUGAUGGAGGGGGAUAACUACUGGAAACGGUAGCUAAUACCGCAUAACGUCGCAAGACCAAAGAGGCGGACCUUCGGGCCUCUUGCCAUCGGAUGUGCCCAGAUGGGAUUAGCUAGUAGGUGGGGUAACGGCUCACCUAGGCGACGAUCCCUAGCUGGUCUGAGAGGAUGACCAGCCACACUGGAACUGAGACACGGUCCAGACUCCUACGGGAGGCAGCAGUGGGGAAUAUUGCACAAUGGGCGCAAGCCUGAUGCAGCCAUGCCGCGUGUAUGAAGAAGGCCUUCGGGUUGUAAAGUACUUUCAGCGGGGAGGAAGGCCAUAAGGUUAAUAACCUUGUCGAUUGACGUUACCCGCAGAAGAAGCACCGGCUAACUCCGUGCCAGCCGCCGCGGUAA
rnacentral:rRNA from 1 species